GUGAAGGCGGUGAUGAUGAAAAACUACCUAUUUUCUGAGGAAACACAUUGAUUAGAAAAUUUACCAAUGGAUCCUUCUGAGCCUAA
rfam:Capsella rubella cultivar Monte Gargano unplaced genomic scaffold scaffold_6, whole genome shotgun sequence.